rnacentral:rRNA from 1 species
GUGCCAGCAUCUGCGGUAAUUCCAGCUCCAAUAGCGUAUAUGUAAAUUGUUGCGGUUGAAAAGCUCGUAGUUGGACUUCUGGCGUCCGGUUUCGGUCCGCCUCGAGCGAGCACUGAUCCCGGUCGUCGUUUUUGUCGACGAGGCUCGUCGGACUUCACUGGCUGGCGUUCUCNCAGUCGACAGGGUUACUUUGAGGAAAUCAGAGUGCUCAAGGCAAGCGCACGCUCGUGACUUCACUAGCAUGGAAUAACACAGAUGGGCUCUUUUUCGCAACGUUGGUCUGCGUCAAUCGAGCAACGAUCGAUAGAGACGGUCGGGGGCAUUCGUAUUGCGCAGUUAGAGGUGAAAUUCUCCGAUCUGCGCAAGACGCACUAAUGCGAAAGCAGUUGCCAAGGACGUCCUCUUAUGAUCAAGAGCGAAAGUCGGGGGAUCAAAGAUGAUUAGAUACCGUCGUAGUCCCGACCAUAAAUGAUGCCGACUGAGCGUCGGCGACUCGGCCUUCGGCCGUACGUCGGCGCUCUUGAGAGAAAUUAAAGUCUUUGGGCUCCGGGGGUAGUAUGGUCGCAAGGCUGAAACUUAAAGGA